AAACCAUUCUCCCCCCUUAGUAUGGGCGACAGAAAAGGGACUUGAGGAGCAAUAGAGAGAGUACCGCAAGGGAACGCUGAAAGAGAGAUGAAAUAGACUAGUAAAGCCCGGCAAAGCAGAGAUCCCCCCUCGUACCUUUUGCAUCAUGAUUUAGCCAGUAAACCUUAAGCAAAGAGCACUUUAGUUUAAUACCCCGAAACUACGGUGAGCUACUCCGAGACAGCCUGCAGUAGGGCGAACCCGUCUCUGUGGCAAAAGAGUGGGAAGAUCUUCGAGUAGUGGUGACAGACCUAUCGAACCUAGUUAUAGCUGGUUGCCUGAGAAAUGGAUAGAAGUUCAGCCUUAUGGCUUCUGCCCUCAGAACCCAGCCUGCCGGCUGACUAUUCGGACGACAAAGGAAACCAUAAGAGUUAAUCAAAGGAGGCACAGCUCCUUUGAUAAAAGACACAACUUUUACAGGAGGGUACAGAUCAUAUUUUUAAUAAGGCUCGAUGUUCUGGUGGGCCUAAAAGCAGCCACCCAUAAAGAAAGCGUUAAAGCUCAAGCACGUCAGCUCUACCUAUUAUUAGGAUAGCACCAUCUUAACCCCCUAAACCCUAUCAGGCCGUUCCAUACCCCUAUGGAAGCGCUUAUGCUAAAAUGAGUAAUAAGAGAGCCCGACUCUCUCCCUGCACGAGUGUACCUCGAACCGGACUAGCCGCCGAAUCUUAACGGCCCCUAAAACAGAGGGAAGUGAAUAAUAAACUGGACAACAAGAAAAACACUCACCCCCCACCGUUAACCCUACACUGGAGUGCCCCUUGGGAAAGACUAAAAGAAAAAGAAGGAACUCGGCAAACACCUAGAGCCUCGCCUGUUUACCAAAAACAUCGCCUCUUGCAAAAUAGAAAAAUAAGAGGUCCUGCCUGCCCUGUGACCAGAGUGUUUAACGGCCGCGGUAUCCUGACCGUGCGAAGGUAGCGCAAUCACUUGCUCUUUAAAUGGGGGCCCGUAUGAAUGGCGUGACGAGGGCUUGACUGUCUCCUUUUUCAGGUCAAUGAAAUUGAUCCCCCCGUGCAGAAGCGGGGAUAGUAACAUAAGACGAGAAGACCCUAUGGAGCUUUAGACACUAAGGCAGGCCACGUUAAUCACCCCCCGUCAAGGGGCUAAACUGAUUGGCUGCUGCCCUAAUGUCUUCGGUUGGGGCGACCGUGGGGGAAAACAAAGCCCCCAUGCGGAACGGGAAUCCUAUUUCUCCUACCCAAGAGUCUCCACUCUAAGAUUCAGAACUUCUGACCAAAGUGAUCCGGCAAUGCCGAUCAACGGACCAAGUUACCCUAGGGAUAACAGCGCAAUCCUCUUUUAGAGCCCAUAUCGACAAGGGGGUUUACGACCUCGAUGUUGGAUCAGGACAUCCUAAUGGUGCAGCCGCUAUUAAGGGUUCGUUUGUUCAACGAUUAAUAGUCCUACGUGAUCUGAGUUCAGACCGGAGCAAUCCAGGUCGGUUUCUAUCUAUGCUAUUGACCUUUUCUAGUACGAAAGGACCGAAAAGGGGGGGCCCAUGUUAUGAACACGCCUCGCCCCCAACUAAUGAACACAACUAAAAUAGAGAAGGGGGC
rnacentral:rRNA from 1 species